AUUUAUUCAUAACGACUCUCGGCAACGGAUAUCUCGGCUCUCGCAUCGAUGAAGAACGUAGCGAACUGCGAUACUUGGUGUGAAUUGCAGAAUCCCGUGAACCAUCGAGUCUUUGAACGCAAGUUGCGCCCGAAGCUUGCUAGGGCACGUUUGCCUGGGUGUC
rnacentral:rRNA from 1 species